rnacentral:lncRNA from 1 species
AAGCCGCUGAACCACAAGAUCCUUAACCUUCUCUGAUGUUAUAGGUUUGUUGUGGCAAUCAAUAGCUCCUUCAGCUACAAUAAUAAUAUUCAGCCUUUUCUUUCGUGCACGGUUCUCUGAAAGCUUAACACACAUUGAAUCCUCCCAUCCUUCUUCUGGUGGGUAUUCAGGAAUAAAUACCCAAUCUGCACCACAAGCUAAGGCACUGACAAGAGCUAAAUACCCACAGUGUCUCCCCAUAACCUCCAGAACAAAUGUCCUCUGAUGGCUUUGUGCAGUGGUCAUGAUGGCAUCCACAACUUCAAUGAUUCUGUGCAAGGCUGAGUCAGUACCUAUGGUCAUAUCAGUGCCACAGAAGUCAUUGUCUAUGGAUCCAACCAUUCCCACAAUGUUAAGGUAAGCAUAUUUCUUAACAGCUUCUUCAUCAAUCUUUCCUUUCUGCGCUAGUUCUUCUAGAAGUCCACUCCAUUCUUCACGGAACAGAUUGGCACCAGUUAAGCUACCAUCUCCACCAAUCACACAAAGAUUAGUGAUUCCCCUCCGAACCAAGUUGUAGGCUGCCUGCAGGCGACCCUCCCGGGUACGAAAAGAUUUGCAGCGUGCACUACCAAUGACCGUACCUCCCACUUGCAGGAUACUGGAUACACUUUCCCAAGAAACUUCAACAAUAUUAUCACCGCCAUCAACCAUUCCUUGGUAACCCUCAUAAACGAAAUAGACUUUGGCUUUCACAUAUAUUCCCAUGCGUACUACUGCACGCACAGCAGCAUUCAUACCUUGGGCAUCGCCGCCGCUGGUCAGCACCCCGAUGGCUUUCCCGGUGCCGGAGAGGUUCUCGAAGAACUUGGGCUGGUGAUCCAUGGCUGCGGGGGAAGCGGGGGGCGCGGAGCGAGGUGGUGCGGGAGCCCCUGCGGCUCGGCCCUGCUGCCCGGGAGCACGAAAGCGGCUCUGUCAAGUAUUUGGCCUCCCGCCACCACCGCCGUUUCCUCCGACCGCUCCUGCUGACAGCCCUCUCGGCUCCGCCCUCCAACGCCCCUCCGCGAGCGGCGGUUGACGGUCGUCUCGAGCAGCCAAUAGGAGGGCG